rnacentral:lncRNA from 1 species
AUUUAUAAUACAAAGGAGGUAUUUAGAUAUGAACUAUUUUCUUUUGUAGUAGUUUAGUUUGUAUUUCAUUGUUUAAAAUUCAUUUUGCAGUAACAUAGUGUGUAUGUUUUGCAGCUAAUUGUUUUUACAGGUGGCAUAAUGAUAUGACAAUAUCUUUAUCGACUUGAGUCAGUAAAAGGAAGUCAAAUAAUGAGGUGGACUUUUAUUUGUAUUUUCAUAACAUUGACAACAUUGUAGUUUUGAGCAAAUGUUUCUUAUCUUAGGGUGAUAGUAAAAUUUGUUUUAUGACAGAAUUUAG